GACAGAGGGGCCGAGCGUUAGUCGGAAUCACUGGGCUUAAAGCGUGUGUAGGCGGACUUCUAAGUCCCUUGUGAAAUCCCACGGCUCAACCGUGGAACUGCUCGGUAUACUGGUCGUCUUGAGCCACCUAGGGGCGAGCGGAACAAGCGGUGGAGCGGUGAAAUGCGUAGAGAUGUGGAGGAACACCGAUGGCGAAGGCAGCCUUCUGGGCCAACACUGACGCUCAUGCACGAAAGCGUGGGGAGCAAACAGG
rnacentral:rRNA from 1 species